UACGAAGGGGGCUAGCGUUGCUCGGAAUUACUGGGCGUAAAGCGCACGUAGGCGGCUUCUUAAGUCGGUGGUGAAAUCCUGGAGCUCAACUCCAGAACUGCCUUCGAUACUGGGAAGCUCGAGUCCGGGAGAGGUGAGUGGAACUGCGAGUGUAGAGGUGAAAUUCGUAGAUAUUCGCAAGAACACCAGUGGCGAAGGCGGCUCACUGGCCCAUUACUGACGCUGAGGCACGAAAGCGUGGGGAGCAAACAGG
rnacentral:rRNA from 1 species